UUGAAAUAAACCUGAUGGGUUGCUGCUGGCUCUCUCGGGAGCAUGUGCACACUUGUCAUCUUUAUAUCUCCACCUGUGCACCUUUUGUAGAUCUGGAUAUCUUUCUGAAUGCCUGGCAUUCGGGUUUGAGGAUUGACUUCUGUCUUUUCCUUACAUUUCCAGGCCUAUGUUUUCUUCACAUACACCAUUUAUGUUAUAGAAUGUAAUGAAAGGGCCUUUGUGCCUACAAACCUUAUA
rnacentral:misc_RNA from 1 species